rnacentral:rRNA from 1 species
GAUGAACGCUGGCGGCGUGCCUAAUACAUGCAAGUCGAGCGAGCGGACGAGAAGCUUGCUUCUCUGAUGUUAGCGGCGGACGGGUGAGUAACACGUGGAUAACCUACCUAUAAGACUGGGAUAACUUCGGGAAACCGGAGCUAAUACCGGAUAAUAUUUUGAACCGCAUGGUUCAAAAGUGAAAGACGGUCUUGCUGUCACUUAUAGAUGGAUCCGCGCUGCAUUAACUAGUUGGUAAGGUAACGGCUUACCAAGGCAACGAUGCAUAGCCGACCUGAGAGGGUGAUCGGCCACACUGGAACUGAGACACGGUCCAGACUCCUACGGGAGGCAGCAGUAGGGAAUCUUCCGCAAUGGGCGAAAGCCUGACGGAGCAACGCCGCGUGAGUGAUGAAGGUCUUCGGAUCGUAAAACUCUGUUAUUAGGGAAGAACAUAUGUGUAAGUAACUGUGCACAUCUUGACGGUACCUAAUCAGAAAGCCACGGCUAACUACGUG